rnacentral:misc_RNA from 1 species
GAUGAAGAAGGUAGCGAAAUGCGAUAAGUAGUGUGAAUUGCAGAAUUCAGUGAAUCAUCGAAUCUUUGAACGCACAUUGCGCCCUUUGGUAUUCCAAAGGGCAUGCCUGUUCGAGCGUCAUUUGUACCCUCAAGCUUUGCUUGGUGUUGGGCGUCUUGUCUCUAGCUUUGCUGGAGACUCGCCUUAAAGUAAUUGGCAGCCGGCCUACUGGUUUCGGAGCGCAGCACAAGUCGCACUCUCUAUCAGCAAAGGUCUAGCAUCCAUUAAGCCUUUUUUUCAACUUUUGACCUCGGAUCAGGUAGGGAUACCCGCUGAACUUAAGCAUAUCAAUAAGCGGAGGA